CCUACGGGAGGCAGCAGUGGGGAAUAUUGGGCAAUGGGCGCAAGCCUGACCCAGCAACGCCGCGUGAAGGAAGAAGGCUUUCGGGUUGUAAACUUCUUUUAAGGGGGAAGAGCAGAAGACGGUACCCCUUGAAUAAGCCACGGCUAACUACGUGCCAGCAGCCGCGGUAAUACGUAGGUGGCAAGCGUUGUCCGGAUUUACUGGGUGUAAAGGGCGUGCAGCCGGAGAGACAAGUCAGAUGUGAAAUCCACGGGCUCAACACGUGAACUGCAUUUGAAACUGUUUCCCUUGAGUGUCGGAGAGGUAAUCGGAAUUCCUUGUGUAGCGGUGAAAUGCGUAGAUAUAAGGAAGAACACCAGUGGCGAAGGCGGAUUACUGGACGAUAACUGACGGUGAGGCGCGAAAGCGUGGGGAGCAAACAGGAUUAGAUACCCCUGUAGUC
rnacentral:rRNA from 1 species